rnacentral:rRNA from 1 species
CGCGUGUGAAGAUGAGCGACUCUUCAGGGAGCGUAUACAGGUGCUGCAUGGCUGUCGUCAGUUCGUGCCGUGAGGUGUUAGGUUAAGUCCUGUAACGAGCGCAACCCUCGUCGCUAGUUACAUGUGUCUAGCGAGACUGCCCGUGAUAAGCGGGAGGAAGGUGGGGAUGACGUCAAGUCAGCAUGGCCUUUAUGUCCUGGGCUACACGCACGCUACAAUGGCCGGUACAAUGGGUAGCCAAGCCGCGAGGCGGAGCCAAUCCUCCAAAGCCGGUCUCAGUUUGGAUUGUAGGCUGCAACUUGCCUGCAAGAAGUCGGAGAUGCUAGUGAACA